AGAGACAGAGACAGUGUGUACCAUUUUAUAAUAUGAGAGCUCUGCAUCUUCUAAGACCUGAGGAAGGUCAUCCCAGCUUUCUGUCAGGAAAGGAAACAGCACUUCUCAAAAAAUAGAAAGAGCAUGAUAUGGAGCUGGAGAGGAGGGGAGAGGAGAACAGAAGGCAAGGUGGGAAAGGACACCUGGCAGAGACAACAUCUGGAUCCUGAACCUGGAGGAGAAAUCCACUUAUAUCUCACUUUAGAUUUGCCAGCUGCUUUUAUUUUUAUUUGGACUUACAGAAAGGUUGAGAAGAAAAUACGGGAGUGAACUGUAGCAAUAAACGGU